rnacentral:rRNA from 1 species
UACGUAGGGUGCGAGCGUUAAUCGGAAUUACUGGGCGUAAAGCGUGCGCAGGCGGUUCGUUGUGCCGGCGGUGAAAGCCCCGGGCUUAACCUGGGAAUGGCCGUCGAAACUGGCGAACUGGAGUGUGGCAGAGGGGGGUGGAAUUCCGCGUGUAGCAGUGAAAUGCGUAGAGAUGCGGAGGAACACCGAUGGCGAAGGCAGCCCCCUGGGCUGACACUGACGCUCAGGCACGAAAGCGUGGGGAGCAAACAGG